GGGGAGACCAUUUUUGUUUUCGGCAGAAGAAGCUGGUGGGCUUUGGGAUUAAGUUCCUCCCAGAGAUACUGGGCAUGAUGAGGAAAGAUUUUCACGAGUGAAGGCAUCGGCACUGGACAGCGUGGCUUGAGCAAAGUUCCUUACCGGCCAAGUAGGUUCUUUAGAAGACCCAGACCUGGAGUUAUACUCUGACUUCGGUUCUUUGUGAGAAUGGGACCUGCUCUCAGGGCCUCAUGACCGGCCACUUUUUGAUUUCCCAAGGACGCGGCCUGGAAGAUGAGCGCACCUUCAGUGUUCCGGAUUUUCGUGGUUCUGGAGAUGGGCUGAUUCUAGGCCGAUGCCCCUGACUGAAGCGUGACGGGAGAACACGGACAUCGGGAGCAGCAGGUUGUGUGUCCAGAGAGUUGCACCUUUUAGUUGCCGACUCUCUGGGCACAGAGUGCGGAAAAAGCGACAGAACCGACUUUUAACAUUAUAAAUCAGCGAGUUGUUUGUUAUGUCUCCCCUCUCGCUGUGAAAUGGAGAUAUCUCUUUUCCCCUUAUUAGAGAGAGAGAGAGCCUGUGGUGUGUCAAGUUACUGGGUGAACGAGUAGUCUUUGGGGGACUGCAAGUCUGUGGCUUUAUUGUUGCUUUGCUGCAGGUUUGAGUGCUCGGUGGGGGUGCUGAUGCUUUUUGAUGGUGGGGGUGGGGGAGGUUGUUGCCUUGCUGCUGCUUGUGUGGGACGGGGCUUUGGGAGGGGCUAUUAUUUAACUGUCACUCAUUCUUUGCAGCACUCUCCUGUUUUCGUGCAUGUCUGUGAAGAAGAAGAAUUUCAGGAUGUAUAUUGUAUACAUUUCUCUGAC